UGGGGAAUAUUGCACAAUGGGCGCAAGCCUGAUGCAGCCAUGCCGCGUGUAUGAAGAAGGCCUUCGGGUUGUAAAGUACUUUCAGCGGGGAGGAGGGGAGUAAAGUUAAUACCUUUACUCAUUGACGUUACCCGCAGAAGAAGCACCGGCUAACUCCGUGCCAGCAGCCGCGGUAAUACGGAGGGUGCAAGCGUUAAUCGGAAUUACUGGGCGUAAAGCGCACGCAGGCGGUUUGUUAAGUCAGAUGUGAAAUCCCCGGGCUCAACCUGGGAACUGCAUCUGAUACUGGCAAGCUUGAGUCUCGUAGAGGGGGGUAGAAUUCCAGGUGUAGCGGUGAAAUGCGUAGAGAUCUGGAGGAAUACCGGUGGCGAAGGCGGCCCCCUGGACGAAGACUGACGCUCAGGUGCGAAAGCGUGGGGAGCAAACAGG
rnacentral:rRNA from 1 species